GCCUCCUUCACUUAGUUGGUAGAGUAUCAGUCUCAUAUGGCAAGAAAUGUGUACACUGAAUGUUAUCAGUUCAAUCCUGAUAUGGGGCA